GACGACAAAGCACUCUGUUGGCCAGUGCUUGUCCUGCACAAGUGCUCCUUGUGCCCCCUGUUGGAUUUUGAAAGAACAAUCUCUCAGCCUCAAUUCAAAGGAAGACAAUGAAAUAUGAGAGAGCACCUGGCUUCCAACGAGCUCCCUUUCUUCCCUGAGAAGACCAGAGACCUGAUCAUCAAGACCCAUAAGACAGUGCUGAGACAACGCCCCUUGCUACUGAGCCUGGAUACUAAAACCCCCCACAAAAUGGAAGAAGUUAACUACCCGAUGACCAUGAAGACUUAGCCCCCAAAGCCUGAGGACUGAUAACGUUGACCUCUGUUGACACCACCCGGUUACCUCACCAGAAACUGUAAUCCUUUGAUUCACAUACUCUGUCACUCCCCGCCCUCACUUUUAAAAGCACUUCCCUGAAACCCACUGGGGAGUUUAGGUCUUUUGAGCAGGAGCCACCUGUUCUCCUUGCUAGGC